UGGUGGGUAGUUUGACUGGGGCGGUCUCCUCCUAAAGAGUAACGGAGGAGCACGAAGGUUGGCUAAUCCUGGUCGGACAUCAGGAGGUUAGUGCAAUGGCAUAAGCCAGCUUGACUGCGAGCGUGACGGCGCGAGCAGGUGCGAAAGCAGGUCAUAGUGAUCCGGUGGUUCUGAAUGGAAGGGCCAUCGCUCAACGGAUAAAAGGUACUCCGGGGAUAACAGGCUGAUACCGCCCAAGAGUUCAUAUCGACGGCGGUGUUUGGCACCUCGAUGUCGGCUCAUCACAUCCUGGGGCUGAAGUAGGUCCCAAGGGUAUGGCUGUUCGCCAUUUAAAGUGGUACGCGAGCUGGGUUUAGAACGUCGUGAGACAGUUCGGUCCCUAUCUGCCGUGGGCGCUGGAGAACUGAGGGGGGCUGCUCCUAGUACGAGAGGACCGGAGUGGACGCAUCACUGGUGUUCGGGUUGUCAUGCCAAUGGCACUGCCCGGUAGCUAAAUGCGGAAGAGAUAAGUGCUGAAAGCAUCUAAGCACGAAACUUGCCCCGAGAUGAGUUCUCCCUGAGACUUAGAGUCUCCUGAAGGAACGUUGAAGACGACGACGUUGAUAGGCCGGGUGUGUAAGCGCAGCGAUGCGUUGAG
rnacentral:rRNA from 2 species